UACGAAGGAUCCAAGCGUUAUCCGGAUUCAUUGGGUUUAAAGGGUGCGUAGGCGGUUUUGUAAGUCAGUGGUGAAAUCUCUUUGCUUAACAAAGAAACUGCCAUUGAUACUGCGGAACUAGAGUACAGAUGACGUUGGCGGAAUGUGUCAUGUAGCGGUGAAAUGCAUAGAUAUGACACAGAACACCGAUUGCGAAGGCAGCUGACGAAACUGCAACUGACGCUGAUGCACGAAAGUGCGGGGAUCAAACAGG
rnacentral:rRNA from 1 species